CGAGGAGCGUGUGAAACCCGUCAAUCCUGUUUGCCAUUUCCCCGUGGAUUUCCGAGGAGAGGUUCUGCAGGAUGCCCCCAGGCAAACGGAGAUGAGAAACAGAUGUCUUUGCAGGACCAAGCAGUUACUCUCCCCUCGCCGCCCGCCCCCGCCGGCUCCCCUCCUGAGCUGCAUAUGUAAGAAAAAGCAACCUUGGUCCUGCUGCAACUUGAAUUGGCAACCCUUCCUCUGGGUGGGGAUCCUCCAGAGAAAACCUCCAGGAAAUAAAAAGUAAUAAAGGAGGUUGUCUUUGCUCAAGAGAAUGUAAUCUGAGCCCCAGAAUCAGAGUAUUUUGCAAAUAGUAAUUUUCCCCUGCAUUGGGCUCAAUUGGAGUUUGUUUUUUAAAACAUUAAUUCAUAACUUCUGUCUAGGGACCGCUCCGUAGCGGAGAUGGGUCAUUUCAGGUGCAGUGAAGGCAGAGGCUUGGAAUAGACCUAAUAAAACCGGGAGAAGGCACCUGCACGAAAGUGUCACAAAGACUAUAAUGUUUGUUUACUGCUACUACGCCAGAUGCGCUAAAUAUAACACUUCUUUAAAACAGUGAUCCUCCGACUGUGAAAAACCAAACCUCUGGCUGCCUGGCUCCCUAGGAAUCCAGGACCUGCACAGACUGAAAAUCAGGGAGGGAAGGAACAAGAUCAAGGAUGAGGAUUAGCAUCUGCAAAUUGAACUCUAUCUAAUUUGCAUGUUUAUUUCUUAGAAUUGUAAUUAAAUUUGUGUAAUAAAUGUUUUCCAUUUCAUUUGUACACUUAAAAUCUGGGUGACUGACAUGCAGUUAAGUGAAUUUCCUUUUUUUUUUUUUUAAAGCAAAUGCAGUUUAUUCAAUAAAGCAGCAAACAAAUAUUAAACAUAAUUAGAACUAA